UACGUAGGGUGCGAGCGUUGUCCGGAAUUAUUGGGCGUAAAGAGCUUGUAGGCGGUUUGUCGCGUCUGCUGUGAAAAUCCGGGGCUCAACCCCGGACUUGCAGUGGGUACGGGCAGACUAGAGUGUGGUAGGGGAGACUGGAAUUCCUGGUGUAGCGGUGGAAUGCGCAGAUAUCAGGAGGAACACCGAUGGCGAAGGCAGGUCUCUGGGCCGGUACUGACGCUGAGACGCGAAAGCGUGGGGAGCGAACAGG
rnacentral:rRNA from 1 species